ACUCGUCACUAAAAAAUAGACUUACAUAUUCGAAAUCAAAGCAUAUAGCAGCAUGAAGAAGAGUAAUUUGAUCAUGGCAUCAUUUCUCAUCAUCUUCUUCAUCAUCCUCGCCACGGCUGUUGUGCCAUCCGAGGCGGCUCGAGCCACUAACAAGACAAGGUUUCAGUUUAGGGACGGGACGUGUGGGCCUUGUUCGUGUUGCAAGGCCGACACGCCGCCUUGCUGCAUCUGUGCCUGCCCAUAUCUGCCGUGAUGCGACUAACGGAAGCGCCACUACCAAAAAAUUGACAUGUAUUUACUGUUUGAUGUAUGUUGGUAUAUACAGUUGAAAUGAAUAAAGUAUAUAUCAAAUCAUAGAAAACUUUACUAAA